GCGGUUUUUUGAGGAUGUUGUUUGUCCGUUUUCACACUGCCCUCCGUUUUAGGAGAGGAAACAAAAACUAGUC
rnacentral:telomerase_RNA from 1 species